UAACGGCCCACCAAGGCGACGAUGCGUAGCUGGUCUGAGAGGACGAUCAGCCACACUGGGACUGAGACACGGCCCAGACUCCUACGGGAGGCAGCAGUGGGGAAUCUUGCGCAAUGGGCGGAAGCCUGACGCAGCAACGCCGCGUGUGGGAAGACGGCUUUCGGGUUGUAAACCACUUUCAGGGGGGACGAAGCUUCCGAGGUUAAUAGCCUACGGGGUGACGGUACCCCCAGAAGAAGCCCCGGCUAACUACGUGCCAGCAGCCGCGGUAAUACGUAGGGGGCGAGCGUUGUCCGGAAUCAUUGGGCGUAAAGCGCGUGUAGGCGGCUUGAUAAGUCUGGUGUGAAUUCUUGGGGCUCAACCCCAAACCUGCACUGGAUACUGUCAAGCUUGAGUCCGGUAGGGGAGAGCGGAAUUCCUAGUGUAGCGGUGAAAUGCGCAGAUAUUAGGAAGAACACCGGUGGCGAAGGCGGCUCUCUGGAACGGUACUGACGCUGAGACGCGAAAGCGUGGGGAGCGAACAGGAUUAGAUACCCUGGUAGUCCACGCCGUAAACGAUGGGCACUAGAUGUGGGCGGUGUCGACUCCGUCCGUGUCGAAGCUAACGCAUUAAGUGCCCCGCCUGGGGAGUACGGCCGCAAGGCUAAAACUCAAAGGAAUUGACGGAAUCGAAUU
rnacentral:rRNA from 1 species